rnacentral:rRNA from 1 species
UGGGGAAUUUUGCACAAUGGGGGAAACCCUGAUGCAGCGACGCCGCGUGAUUUAGAAGGCCUUCGGGUUGUAAAAAUCUUUUCUAUGGGAAGAAAAUGACAGUACCAUAGGAAUAAGGACCGGCUAAUUACGUGCCAGCAGCCGCGGUAAUACGUAAGGUCCGAGCGUUGUCCGGAAUCAUUGGGCGUAAAGGGUACGUAGGCGGGUAAGCAAGUUAGAAGUGAAAUCCUAUAGCUCAACUAUAGUAAGCUUUUAAAACUGCUCAUCUAGGGGUAUGGAAGGGAAAGUGGAAUUCCUAGUGUAGCGGUGAAAUGCGAAGAUAUUAGGAGGAAUACCGGUGGCGAAGGCGACUUGCUGGCCAUAACCUGACGCUGAGGUACGAAAGCGUGGGUAGCAAACAGG